AGUGCAGUAAGGUAGACUGUUAGUGGCAUGGUAGACAGAGAGCAGUAAGGUAGACUGUGAGCGGCAUGAUAGACAGAGAGCGGCAUGGUAGACUGUGAGCGGCAUGGUAGAAAGAGAGAGGUUAGGUAAACUGUUAGUGGCAUGGUAGACAGAGCGCGGUAAGGUAGACUGUUAGUGGCAUGGUAGACAGAGAGCAGUAAGGUAGACUGUUAGUGGCAUGGUAGACAGAGAGCAGUAAGGUAGACUGUUAGUGGCAUGGUAGACAGAGCGCGGUAAGGUAGACUGUUAGUGGCAUGGUAGACAGAGAAGGGUAAGGUAGGCUAUUAGUGGCAUAGUAGACAGAGCGUGGUAAGGUAGGCUGUUAGUGGCAUGGUAGACAGAGCAUGGAAAGGCAGGCUGUGAGUGACAUGGUAGACAGAGUGCAGCUUGGUAGACAGAGCGACAUGGUAGACAGAGAGCGGCAUGGUAGACUGUGAGUGACAUGGUAGACAGAGAGUGACAUGAUAGGCUGUGAACGACGAAGACAGAGAGCAGCAUGGUAGACAGAGAGCGGCAUGAUAGGCUAUGAGCGGCGUAGACAGAGAGGAGCAUGGCAGACAGAGCAGCCUGGUAGGCUGUGAGUGGCAUGGUAGACAGAGUGGCAUGAUAGUCA